UUUUAUUUAGAGCUUUAGGAUUUUUGUACAUUUUUUGUUCCACCAUUAAGUUUUAUUUUAUAGUUUCAGGGUUUUUGUUAGAGCUUCAGGGUUUUUGUAAUAGCAUAGGUGGGAGUGUAGUGAUUAGUUAAUUUGAUAUUUUAAUUGUUUUUGUACUUUAUGUUUGUUUUUUUAAAAAAUUUCAGGUGGGUUUGUGUCUAAAUUUUUUUAGAAAGAUCAUUAAGGAAGGCUAUAUCACAGUUUAUUAAAAUUAUCUAAAGAGUAU
rnacentral:lncRNA from 1 species